UACGUAGGGACCAAGCGUUGUUCGGAUUUACUGGGCGUAAAGGGCGCGUAGGCGGCAAUUCAAGUCAUCUGUGAAAUCUCCGGGCUUAACUCGGAACGGUCAGAUGAUACUGCUUUGCUAGAGUGGCGGAAGGGGCAAGUCGGAAUUCUUGGUGUAGCGGUGAAAUGCGUAGAUAUCAAGAGGAACACCUGAGGUGAAGACGGGUUGCUGGGCCGACACUGACGCUGAGUGCGCGAAGGCGUGGGGAGCGAAACGGG
rnacentral:rRNA from 1 species